CUGGGCGCGGCACCCCCACCGGAAAUGAACCGCCGGCUGAAACGCUAGCCCCGGAGAGAGGAAGAAGUUUGGCCGCCCGGCUCGUGGCCCCGCCCUCAUUCCCCGCCACCGGAGAGAGAGUCUGGCCUAGGAGCGCUUGGGACAAGAAAUGUACAGAGCAUACAUGCAUUCAAGAGCAAAAGGAGAAAGAGGAAGAAAAAGGGAUGAAACGGGGCCAGUGAGAUGGUUCAUAGGAAAAAGUGCUUAUGUAAGCCUGAAGAUCGUCGUAACCCACAUAACGGAGGAAGGAGAGAAGCCUACUCCCAAAGUUGUUUUCUGACCUCUGCACACUUGAAAUGGCAUGUAUGCCACAUACAUACGUAAUACAUAAAUAAAAGACCAUAUAAAACUGGAAUAAUU